UAGGCACAGGAUUGCCCCAGGUUGCAGUGAGCGGAGAUCUGGAGUGGGAUGGCAUCUAUGCAGUUCUACACAAUCCAUGGUGCAGGACUGGAGGUAGAUUUGCAUACUGGCAUCCUGUCUGGAAGCUUGUGCUGUCAACUGGCUAACUGAAUUCAGAGUAGAACAGGUGUAUUUUCAUCAUACAAAGAUGAGCAGUCAUUGAACGUCAAUAAGGUUGAUUUCAAAUAUUACUUCCCACCCUUAGUUCUUGAUCUGUUGGCAAAAUAAUCCUCCAGAAGAAAUGAAAGGUAGAUUGACCCUCUUGUUUAUCUGUAUUCACAAAACACUGUCACUGGACUAUUGAAAAGCCACCACAGAAGGGUAGCAUGGGGUUGGGGGGUAACGGGACUUGGGAGGAAGAAC